AACGAACGCUGGCGGCAUGCCUAACACAUGCAAGUCGAACGAAACCUUCGGGUCUAUUGGCCCCCGGCUUCGUCGCGCGAGGGAACCUGCCCUUGUGUUCGACAUAACUACCCGAAUGGGGUACUUUUACCGGAUCAUGUCUACUGCCCGAUAAUAUAUCGCCCUUGGAUGUGCCCGCGUUGGAGUAGGUAGUUGUUAGGGUAAUAGCCUACCCGGGCGACGAUGCGUAGCCGGUCUGAGAGGGUGAUCAGCCACACUGGAACUGAGACACGGCCGAGACACAUGCGGAAGGGCACAGAAGGGAAACUUCCGCAAUGGAGGAAGGCCGAACGGAGCAACGACGCGUGAGUGAUGAAGGGCUUCGGAUCGUAGAACUCUGUUAUUAGGAAGGAAGAAAUGUGUAAGGAACUAUGAACGUCUUGACGGUACCGAAUCAGAAAGCCACGGCUAACUACGUG
rnacentral:rRNA from 1 species